rnacentral:lncRNA from 1 species
ACAGCGGGUCACGUGGUGACGGUGGAGUUGAAGACCGGCGAGGUGUACCGACGGUCCACUCAAGUGCGAGGAUAACUAGAAUUGCCAGCUCAAGAACAUUACCUUCACCGCUAAGGACAAAGGAUCAACUAUUGGAGUUGGCUGUGGUCGUGCUGUUGCAAUGCGUGCUCAGAGUUCAAAAGUUGUUCAAGAUGGCAGUAAUCCUUACACCUUGGAAGGGACAGAUGGCUAGAAAUUUUAGCAAAACUUCAGCGUACGUAUAGAAGCAGAUGCUAACAGCAAGACAUGGGGAGGGAAGGAGAACGGAUGCAGCUACUGAAUGCAUAGCUUGCAGUAGUAGUUGCUACUGCAUCUGAUCCAGUUCCUAAUGACAUUUAUUUGGUCCCCUCAUUUAUGUGUGAUGACAGUUCAUAUUUUUUUAUUGUCAAGUACCUCCUCCAUUCUAUUUUAUUUUGUCGUGUUUUAGUUAAAAAAUAAACUAGCCGGCGACGAAUAUUCGAGAACGGGGGUAGUAAGAUAUAUGACUCGAAAGUUUCUGCCUCCCAGGACACAACCUCUGUCCCUCAUCCUCGAUCUAAAAAUCGGGUACAGUUCAUCUAUUUUUCAUCUGCGACUAAAUUGUAACAGUUCAUCUGUUUUUUUCCCAUUUAUGUGUGAUGAUAGUUCAUCU